UAGGUACUCCCUCCGAUUCAUAUUAAUUGUCUCAAAUUUGCUCAAAUAUGGAUGUAUCUAUGCCUAAAAAGUGUCUAGAUACAUGUAAUAUUUCGACAAGUAAUAUGGAUCGGAGGGAGUAGUAU
rnacentral:pre_miRNA from 1 species